AGGGGUAUAACUCAGUGGUGGAGCAAGUCCUUGAUGUGCAUGAGGUCCUGGGUUCAAUCCCCAGUGCCUCCG
rnacentral:tRNA from 1 species